AUGGAUAACUUCAGAAUGUACAUUGCGACAGCGGUCUUGCUUGGCUUCUCGCUGCAGGUUGUCAGCUGCAGCUGUCAUGACAGCGAGUAUCCCGCUGCGACGGGCGUGUGCUGUCGAUACCCUAAACAAGGAUGGUUUAUUUCUAAAAACUGCACAUCGGAGAAUGGUAUAGAGGCAUCACCCUGCAAGAACUGCACAGGUCUUAAGAUAGCAAACUGCACAUACUUCUCCGACACUCAAUGUGAAGACGACAGGAAAAACCAGUCCUCCAUUUCAACACAGAAAGCAGAUGAAUUGAAUCCUAAAAGACUUUAUGAUCUCCAUGUUUCAAAAACAAUGCAAGAUGCCUGAUGUGAUGCCCUAACAAAUCAUGGGAACACAUGUGGUCCCCGAAACUCAUCAUAAGUCAAAAAUAUAGUAAGUUGAAAAUGCAUUUAAUACAUCUAAUACACACCUCUGCAUGACAGACUGGUAGAUGCAGAUUGCUGCUGCUGCUGCCCAGCAUUGUGAGAGAGUAUCGCACUACAUAUCGCUUGCAGUGGGGGGAAAAAAAAUCAAAAGUCAAAAUUUGCAGUAGUUUCUGCUGAAUGUCUGUCGCCAGCUCACCAUCGUAAAGUCGAAAAAAUCGUAACUCAAACCAUCUUAAAUCGUGGACCACCUGUACUGGAUCCAAAUUCAAGUAUUAUCUUGAGAGUGGUUCCCCCAGCUGCCAGUACAGUUAAUUUUUACUGAGACACAAGGAUCAUUUGUCAUCGUAUAUGAAAAACAUAAAUGGUCAGACUAAAUGUAUAGAUGUGUUUGCAUCUUUUUAUACUUUUAUUAUGUAAUAAUUGUUUGUGAAGUUAGUCACAAUUAGUUGUUUUUGACAAAAAAACUUUACACUUACAGCAACUUGCUGUACAGCUAUGGGUGUUGCAAGCCCCUCACCCAGCAGAAUAUUUGUAAAGCCUUUAAUUUUUGAAAGGCACUAAAGAAGCUAAGUAGUUUAACUAAACUAAAGUUAAAUGUAGUUAAUAAAAGCUAAAAAAGUUUAAAGGUUUAAAGAAGG
rnacentral:lncRNA from 1 species